rnacentral:lncRNA from 10 species
GAAAACAAUUUCUGUUUUUAAGCUAUCCAGUCCAUGGUAUUUUGUUAUGGCAGCCCUAUCAGACUAACACAGGUGGUUAGAUUACUGUUCUUUAUACAUACGUUUUAUCAAUCAGAUCAUUAGGUUUUGAGUUCUCUUGGCUGUGUUUUAAUAAUGUCUCCUAUAAAUAGAUUGUAACAUUAUUAAUACAUAAGUAUAUUUAAAAAGGGGAAAAGAUUAGUGAAAUCAAUGCCCUUAGUAGAGUUAUAUUAAAAUUUCAUCACAACAAUGAGAGUGUAGAAAUUAGACACAAACUUGAAGUUGGGAAAUUUAAUAUAAGGAUAAUCUAUGUUCCAAUUUUCUAAAUGAUGGCAAUAUAAACAAUAGAGAAAAUUAAUGGAAACCUAAGUAAUAAAAAUACUAUUGUGUAAAUAUAUUCUUUAAAUUAUUAUAUUGUUUCUGGAAUUUAUAAUUUUUAGGGACUGUGUGUAUGUGUCCCUCCUCCAUCCCCAAAGUUCAUGUGCGAAAGUCCUAAAAUGCAGUGUGGCUGCAUUUUGAGUAAGAAAGUAAUUGAUGUUAAAUACGGUCAAAAUAAGUUGUUAAAUAUGGCUUGGCUCCGUGUCUCCACCCAAAUCUCACCUUGCAUUGUAAUAAUUCCCACAUGCCUAAGGAGGGACCUUGUGGGAGGUAACUGAAUCAUGAUCCUGGGUUUUUGCCAUGCUGUUCUCAUGAUAGUGAAUAAGUCUCACCGGAUCUAGUGGUUUUAUAAAGUGGAGCUCCCCUGCAAAUGCCCUCUUGCCUGCCGCCAUGUAAGAUGUCCCUUAUUCGUCUGUCAUCUUCCGCCAUGAUUGUGAGGCUUCCCUAGCCAUGUGGAACUGCAAGAAUUCUAUCACUGAACUACCAAUGCCUUUGGAAGUAUCCAAUAUUUUGGUUGUUUUGCUACCUAUGGGAUCAUGCAUAUCAGUACUUGGAAAUAAAUGAUGAAAGCAGCAGCUCAGCCACCUGUCCUCAAUGAUGGGAGGGCAUUCACCUCUACAGGAAAGAAGACAGAUGGUCAACCUGAUCUAUGCUGCUUGUAAGCAUGACUCCAGGUUCUUCAACUUCGUGACUCGGACUGGCUUCUUUGCUCUGAAGAUUGCAGACAGCCUAUUGUGGGAGCUCACCUUGUGAUUGUGUUAUGUUUAAUUUCUUCACACCACUCAAAACUCAGCUUCUGAUUUCAAGAGUUCAACAACAGCCCUGAAGGAUUCUGUCUGCUUUACAGCUAUGUAAAAUAUGUUUAAUCUUCAGAUUCCUACAAGUUCCAGAUGACAAUGGAAUAUAAAAGACACAAGGCAGCUUCUGAAAAGCCACUCUGCCCUAAGAAGUCAGCCUACAUAAUUGAAGACAAGUGAUGUAAAUAAUUUGCCCUGUAUGCUGGUCCCAUGUUCCUGGACUUCUCAGUCUCCCCCAGAACUGUAAAAAAUAAAUUUCCUUUCUUUAUAAAUUACCCAGUCUGUGGUAUUCUGUUAUAGUAAAGGAAAACAAGCUAAGGCAUUAUGUUAAAUCUUGUAAAAAGAACCUCUUUCCUAUGAUUAGAGCUCCUCUCAUAUGCAUAUAGAAAUCCAAUGUUGAAGCUAUCAUAAUUCUACUGAACCAUCAACUUCAACCCACCCAGGUAAGAUUAUGCCUUCUUGAAUAUAAGAGAAACUUCCCCAAUCCCUUACCCAACCAAAAGGAUGAAUCUUCGAGAAAAAUAUCAAAAAGCCCUGCUUCAAAUCAGUAAAUAUUUGGUGGUAGGUGAGUGGUGUUUUCAAAUAAUAAAUACAAUCAUUCACUCUCUGUUAUGACUUUUUGAAGAUAAUUCAUUUUUGUUUUUCUUCUCUUAAGGGCUGAUUUAAACUUUCACAAAUGUAACAUCAUAUUGAAUCACAUCACAUUGAAUUUGUAAUGAAAAAAUGUGUUCCCCAGACGUCUUAUGACCUCUGAAACUUGGAAACCAAGUUGGCAACUGAGGAAAAAACUAUUAUUUCCAUCAAAAACUAUGGCAACAAAAACAUGGUCAUGUUCAUUUUAAUUACUUCUGCCAUUUUACUUGUCCCUCUUUCUAGUUAUCUUUCUUAAGAAUAUUAAUCAGUCUAAAGAGAAUAAAUGAUUUAUUAUUUUCAGAGAGGUAGGUGUUUUGAACAGAUCUUAGAGCCAUGUGGGUCAGUGUUGUCAAUCCCAGAUUUAUCUGUUUAAAAUGCAUGCCUCAUGGACUUACACUUAUUAAUGUUAUAAUGUAGGUAAGAAUCUUACCCAGUGCUCAGUACAUACUAAGUUGUGGGUAAAACCUGCUUAUUACUAAUUAUUCAACAAUUCACAGAAAAAUGGAAAAUUCAGUUGUUCAAAUUAUCACCAAUAUGGGUGUUUUCUUUAUAAUGUGAUAAGAUUAUUUGAAUUUUAUGACACAUAUGCCAUGAAUUUAAGAUAAGUAUAAUAUGGUUGCUUUAAGUUUUUCUUUUUCAAUUACAAUAAUAAUAAUACAAACCUCCUUAGAUCUAUACACUUGAGAUAUUUAAAACACAAUGUGUAUGCAAAACAUCAUAACCUGGUUCCUCAAAUCAACAAGGGACUAUGAGUUUUAUUUGUAUGAGAGGUCUUGGACCUGUGGUAUUUUGUUUACUACUUAUCACUUUUGAUGGCCACCCAUUUGAAUAGAGAUCUAAUCUGGCUCUGGGGGCAGGGAAGAUCUUGGGACAGGAAAACUACCCCUUUCUUUAGGAGAUGGCCCAUUGAUCUUUGCUUUUAUCAGCUCCUGCAACUAUCAUUUGAAGGUAAAGAUCAAGUUAUUUACAAAUUGCUUUAGAUUGAAAGGCAUUAGACUAGGCAAGGUGAAAAUUAAGAGCUUGUGAAUACAUUGUAGGUGGAAAUAAUUUUUGGAAACGAUUUCCCAGUAUAUAUAAUACACAAUUUCUAAAAUGAACAAAAGUUUGAAAUAAGUUUUAAAUAAGAUGUUGAAAAGAUGUAAGCGUAGCUGCUUUAAUCUUAAUCAAUGCAACUUGUGAUGAGGUAAUGAAGAGCAGGCAAUCAGUCAGAACCCAAUCUACCCAAAUGAAAUCUCAAACAACAGAGGAUAUUUUUUACUUUAGUUUGUGUUAAGAGAGAUGGGCAAUGUAAGUGCUAUGCAGAUUUAAUGUGCUAAUGAAAUAAAUUCAUCAAGAUUUAAAUUAUGGAGGAAAUUAAAAUAAGAAACUGUUCUGUACACAAAAGAGACUAUGUCCCAAGAGAAUAUCCAGCCUUGGUAAAGAACAACCCUAAUGAAUUUUAGAAUAGAUUUACAAAAUAUUAUAUAUCACCUGUUUUUAAAGACUUUUUAUUCUUUAGUUUCCUUAGUCAGUCCCUAGAAUUUUUAUUUAGGAAAGACCCUAGAAAUAGAAAUCUGAAAUGCUCAGCCAACAAAAGCUUUGUGAAGUUGUUUGCCCAGCCAAUGUAUUGUUGGUGGUUAGAUCAUUAGUCUACUACUUCGAUUUUGGGUGCUCAGUGAAGUACCUGGAGGCAUUCAAGGGUGUGAGCACAGAUAAUUUAAGGGAAUUAAUUUCUAAUUUAAAUAAUUUCAUCUUUUAUGUUAAAUAUUUCCUAAGGCCAUUUGAUGGAGCUUCAAGUUCUAAUUUUCUUUUUUUUUUCUUUUGAGAUGGAGUGUUGCUCUGUCGCCCAGGCUGGAGUGCAGUGGCAUGAUCUCGGCUCACUGCAAGCUCCGCCUCCCAGGUUCAUGCCAUUCUCCUGCCUCAGCCUCUCAAGUAGCUGGGACUACAGGCACCCGCCACCACGCCUGGCUAAUUUUUUUUGUAUUUUUUAGUAAAGACGGGGUUUCACCAUGUUAGCCAGGAUGGUCUCGAUCUCCUGAUCUCGUGAUCUGCCCUUCCUCAGCCUCCCAAAGUGCUGGGAUCACAGGCGUGAGCCACCAUGCCCAGCCCAAGUUCUAAUUUUCUGCCAUGUUAUAAUAAACCUCUCCCAAUUUUUCAAAGUAAAAUAUCUGUUGCCCAGCACUAAACUAGCAGGGUGAUUGCCCCAGAAAAUUACAAAGAUCCUAGGCAUCACUACUGAGACCAAUCAAAAUGUUUUUAUAAUGAUUUUGAAAAAAUAAAGAAUUUUAAUGACAGGAUAAAAAAUAAAUACAUUUGAAAAUCAAAUGAUUCCAACUAUCAGUUUUCAACAAAACUAAAGAAUUUACCUACUUGGAUUGUUUGUUGAUAGGCCACUUAAAAAUAAUAUUUGCUGAAGAAUUAGAAUGAGACAUUUACAAACACCUGAAAAGAGUUGAAAGAAUUCAAUGUCAUUGCUAGAAUAGCACACUUAUCCUCAUCUAUUUGUUUAUGUGGACAAGUUAUUUCAAUACCUACAUCUAUAAAGAUGAGUGUAUUAGUUCAUUUUCAUAUUGCUGUUACAGACAUGCCCGAGACUGGACAAUUUACAAAAGAAAGAAGUUUAUCAGACUUACAGUUCUAUGUGGCUGAGGAAACCUCACAAACAUGGCGGAAGUUGAAAGGCACAUCUCACAUGGUGGUAGACAAGAGAAGAGAACUUGUGUAGGGAAACUCUGAUUUUUAAAACCAUCAGAUCUGGCGAGACUCAUUCACUAUCAAGAGAACAGUGCAGGAAAGACCCGCCCCCAUAAUUCAAUCACCUCUCACCAGGUUCCUCCCAUGACAUGUGGGAAGUACAAUUCAAGAUGAGAUUUGCUUGGGGGCACAGCCAAACCAUAUUAUUCCACCACUGGCCUCUUCUAAAUCUCAUGUCCUCAUAUUUCAAAAACCAAUCAUGCCUUCCCAAUAGUCCUCCAUAGUCUUAACUCAUUUCAGCAUUAACUCAAAAGUCUACAGUACAAGGUCUCUUCUGAGACAAGUCAAGUCCCUUCUGCCUAUAAGCAUGUAAAAUCAAAAGCAAGUUAGUUACAUCCUAGAUACAAUGUGGGUACAGGCACUGGGUAAAUACAGCCAUUCCAAAUGGGAGAAAUUGGCCAAAACAAAGGGGCUACAACCCCAUGUAAGUCUGAAAUCCAGCAGAGCAGUCAAAUCUUGAAGCUCCAAAAUGAUAUUUUGACUCAAUGUCUUACAUCUCAGUCAUGCUGAUGCAAAAGAUUGCUUCCUGUGGUCUUAGGCAGCCUCGCUCCUGGCUGUUUCCAUGGGCUUGUGUUGAGUGUCUGUGGCUUUUCCAGGCUCACAGUGCAAGCUGUCAGUGAAUCUACAAUUCUGGGUUCUGUAGAAUGAUGUCCCUCUUCUCACAGCUCCACUAGGUAGUGCCCCAGUAGGGACUCUCUGUGGGGACUCCAAACCCACAUUUCCCUUCCAUGCUGCCCUAGCAGAGGUUGUAUAUGAGAGCCCUGCCCCUGAAGCAAACUUCUGCCUGGGCAUCCACUCGUUUCCAUACAUCCUCUGAAAUGUAGGCGGAGGUUCCCAAACCCCAAUUCGUCACUUCUGUGUACCAGCAGGGUCAACACCAUAUAGAAGCUGCCAAGGCUUGGGGCUUGAAUCCUCUGAAACCAUAGCCCAAGCUCUAGGUGUACCCCUUUCAGCCAUGGCUGGAGUAGCUGGGAUGUAGGGCACCAAGUCCUGCGCAUAGCACUGGGACCCUGGGCCCGACCCACAUAACCACUUUUUCCUCCUAGACCUCCAGGCCUGUGAUGGGAGGGGCUUGUGAAGAGCUUUGAAAUGCUUUGGAGACAUUUUCCCUGUUGUCUUUGGGAUUAACAUUUGGCUCCUAGUUACUUAGGCAAAUUUCUGCAGCUGGCUUGAAUUUCUCCUUAGGAAAUGGGAUUUUCUUUUCUAACGCAUUGUCUGGCUGCAUAUUUUCUAAACUUUUAUGCUGUGCUUCCCUUUUAAAACUGAAUAGCUUCAACAGCACCCAAGUCACCUCUUGAGUGCUUUACUGCUUGGAAAUUUAUUCCACCAGAAACCCUAAAUCAUCUCUCUCAAGUUCAAAGUUCCACAAAUCUCUAGGGCAGAGGCAAAAUGCUGCCAGUCUAUUUGCUACAACAUAACAAGAGUCACCUUUGCUCCAGUUCCUAAAAAGUUCCUCAUUUUUAUCUGUGACCACCUCAGCCUAGACUUUAUUGCCCAUAUUUCUAUUAGCAUAUUGGUCAAAGGCAUUCAACCAGUCUCUAGGAGGUUCCAAACUUUCCAACAUUUUCCUGUCUUCUUCUGAGCCCUCCAAACUGUUCCAACCUCUGCUUGUUACCCAGUUCCAAAGUGGCUUCCACAAUUUCAGGUAUCGUUUCAUCAGUGCCCCACCCUACUGGUACCAAUUUACUGUAUUAGUCCAUUUUCAUGCCACUGAUAAAGACACACUUGAAACUGUGCAAUUUAAAAAUAAAGAGGUUUACUGGACUUACAGUUCCACAUGGCUAGGGAGACAUCACAAUUAUGACAGAAGGUAAAAGGUCCAUCUGACAUGGUGGCAGACAAGAGAAGAGAGCUUGUAUAGGGAAAUUCCCAUUUUUAAAACCAUCAGAUCUCGUGAGACUCAUUCAUUAUCAUGAGAACAGUGCAGGAAAGACCUGCCCCAUAAUUCAACCACCUCCUACUGGGUUCCUCCCAUGACACAUGAGAAUUGUGGGAGUUACAAUUCAAGAUUAGAUUUGAGUGAGCGCACAGCCAGACCAUGUCAAUGACCUAAAAAAUAGUAAGAAUAGAAUGUAUGGUAAACUCUGUCCCAUUGUAAUAAUAAAUUAAUCAUUAAUAUAAAUUACGUUCUCAUAGAGAGCUGUGUUUUCAAAAAUCACUUUAAUUUGUUAAAGUUGUUUAUGAAAACAUGAUAAGUUUACAUCAUUUAUAACAGGGACUAAUAAUUACUAGAAGAAUAACUUACUCUUGAUUUUUUUUAUUUACAGAU